UCCGGUUUGUCACCGGCAGUCACCUUAGAGUGCCCAACUAAAUGCUGGCAACUAAGAUCAAGGGUUGCGCUCGUUGCGGGACUUAACCCAACAUCUCACGACACGAGCUGACGACAACCAUGCACCACCUGUCACCUUGUCCCCCGAAGGGGAACGCUCUAUCUCUAGAGGUGUCAAGGGAUGUCAAGACCUGGUAAGGUUCUUCGCGUUGCUUCGAAUUAAACCACAUGCUCCACCGCUUGUGCGGGCCCCCGUCAAUUCCUUUGAGUUUCAGCCUUGCGGCCGUACUCCCCAGGCGGAGUGCUUAAUGUGUUAACUUCGGCACUAAGGGCAUCGAAACCCCUAACACCUAGCACUCAUCGUUUACGGCGUGGACUAC
rnacentral:misc_RNA from 1 species